GACGAACGCUGGCGGCGUGCUUAACACAUGCAAGUCGAGCGGUAAGGCCCUUUCGGGGGUACACGAGCGGCGAACGGGUGAGUAACACGUGGGUGACCUGCCCUCAGCUCUGGGAUAAGCCUGGGAAACUGGGUCUAAUACUGGAUAUGACUCCACGGUGCAUGUCGUGGGGUGGAAAGCCUUGUGCGGCUGAGGAUGGGCCCGCGGCCUAUCAGCUUGUUGGUGGGGUGANGGCCUACCAAGGCGACGACGGGUAGUCGGCCUGAGAGGGCGACCGGCCACACUGGGACUGAGACACGGCCCAGACUCCUACGGGAGGCAGCAGUGGGGAAUCUUGCGCAAUGGGCGAAAGCCUGACGCAGCGACGCCGCGUGAGGGAUGACGGCCUGG
rnacentral:rRNA from 1 species